rnacentral:rRNA from 1 species
UACGUAAGGUCCCGAGCGUUGUCCGGAAUCAUUGGGCGUAAAGGGUACGUAGGCGGAUAAGCAAGUUAGAAGUGAAAUCCUAUAGCUCAACUAUAGUAAGCUUUUAAAACUGCUCAUCUUGAGGUAUGGAAGGGAAAGUGGAAUUCCUAGUGUAGCGGUGAAAUGCGCAGAUAUUAGGAGGAAUACCGGUGGCGAAGGCGACUUUCUGGCCAUAAACUGACGCUGAGGUACGAAAGCGUGGGUAGCAAACAGGAUUAGAAACCCCAGUAGU